rnacentral:rRNA from 1 species
UCACGCCAGUGGCACAGCUGGGUAGCUAUGUUGGGACUGGAUAAACGCUGAAAGCAUCUAAGCGUGAAGCCAACCUCAAGAUGAGAUUUCCCAUAGCGUAAGCUAGUAAGACUCCUGGAAGAACACCAGGUUGAUAGGUCAGAGAUGUAAGCAUGGCAACAUGUUAAGUUGACUGAUACUAAUAAGUCGAGGGCUUGACCAAAA